rnacentral:rRNA from 1 species
AUACGGAGGGUGCAAGCGUUGUUCGGAAUUAUUGGGCGUAAAGCGCGUGUAGGCGGUCUGUUAAGUCUGGUGUGAAAGCCCUGGGCUCAACCCAGGAAGUGCAUUGGAUACUGGCAGACUUGAGUAUGGGAGAGGAAAGCGGAAUUCCGAGUGUAGGAGUGAAAUCCGUAGAUAUUCGGAGGAACACCAGUGGCGAAGGCGGCUUUCUGGACCAAUACUGACGCUGAGACGCGAAAGCGUGGGGAGCAAACAGGAUUAGAAACCCCAGUAGUCC